GUGUUCAAACCAACCCGUUCUCAUCAGUCUGCGUAUAAAUAACACGACUUUACACUUUCUAUUUGCGUGUAAUGCAUACGCCAAAUGCCAUUUUUGCGUGCAUAUGAUACGCCAAUCCUUCCCAUUAAUUUCGGUGGAGAGCAGAUGCGUCCAAAUAACACGCAUCAUCUUCAGCGGCAGUGACGUCACCAGCGAGGCUCGUUCAGUUCACCUGAUGCGCGUACACCUUCAAACAGGUAAGCAAGGUUACGUCGGAUUACAUACUCCACAACAACCUGUAAUCCAGCAGAUCUUUAAAGAAGCCAUCUCUUGUAAAAUCUCUCUCUCUCUCUCUCUCUCUCUCUCUCUCUCGCUCUGCUAGAAUUAACAGGGAACUUCAACUCCACGCUCCCAAUGCUGAUAUUGAAGAAGCUGUCAAGGGGGCUGAACAAGUCCUUCAAAGGAUCAACCCUUCACAGGAAGGCCUGUCAUGAGAUUUGAAUUUGACCAUCUUGUGCAUUUAUGAAGAAGACCAAAAGCUGCAAAGGCAGAAACUGAGAGUUUGCAUGAUGGCAUUUUCUCAGACGCUGAAUCUGAUGUGUACAGAUGAACUCAGGAGUCUACUAGAGUUGCCAAGGAACUUGUGCUUGAACUGAAGACCAGAAACGCAAAGAAAAUCAGUCAAACCAGUCCUAAAGAAAUGAGGAAUGAACAUGGACUUCUUGUGCCCCAAAAGAAAAGACAGAAAGCUCCUAAAAUGAGCAAAUAAGCUGUGCAUCAUCUCUGUGAUUUGGGAAGGAAAUGACUGAAUAUGAUGAAGCCAGUUGAUGAAGAUAUCAAUUGAAUGGCCACCAAGUGCAUCACUGCUACCUGAACCCAUCAGUUAUCUUCUGUGAAGACUGCAUUCACAAACCGCUCUACUGCGACAGCUCAGAUGUUAGCCACCCGAGCCAUGGAUUGCUCUCACUGUUACCAUCAGGCAUGCGUUAUCACAGAACCUACACCAGCAGACAGUGAGACAAGUUCCUUUCACAGGCAAUCAGACUGAACUGAACUCAUACCAGUAAAACCAUACACACCCCACCAACCUCAUAUGCCCUGCACUCUUAUCAGUUAUGCUGACUGGACUCAAUAUUAUUAUGCACCCUGACAUUCUGUUUGCACUAAUUCAUACUGUGCUGCACUGCAGACAUGUAUGUGUACUGUGAUUAUUAUUGUUUUCAAUUCAUGCUCUCUGUAUAGCAUAAUUUUUAACAUAUAUUGUUCUCUACCUGAAUUGAGUCCCUUAUAUAUGUGUGUUUCAUAUAUAUAUUCAGAAUUUGUAUUUCAUAUAUAUUCAUGAAUUAAUUCAUUUGUCAUCCAUACUGUCCCGCUGCAGUCUGCACCCAAGACUUUCAUCACCUGUAUACUU